rnacentral:rRNA from 1 species
UUGCUCUUCAACGAGGAAUGCCUAGUAAGCGCGUGUCAUCAGCAUGCGUUGAUUACGUCCCUGACCUUUGUACACACCGCCCGUCGCUACUACCGAUUGAAUGGCUCAGUGAGGCCUUCGGACUGGCUCGAGGAGGUUGGCAACGACCACCUCAAGCCGGAAAGUUCGUCAAACUCGGUCAUUUAGAGGAAGUAAAAGUCGUAACAAGGUCUCCGUAGGUGAACCUGCGGAGGGAUCAUUACACAAAUAUGAAGGCGGGCUGGAACCUCUCGGGGUUACAGCCUUGCUGAAUUAUUCACCCUUGUCUUUUGCGUACUUCUUGUUUCCUUGGUGGGUUCGCCCACCACUAGGACAAACAUAAACCUUUUGUAAUUGCAAUCAGCGUCAGUAACAAAUUAAUAAUUACAACUUUCAACAACGGAUCUCUUGGUUCUGGCAUCGAUGAAGAACGCAGCGAAAUGCGAUAAGUAGUGUGAAUUGCAGAAUUCAGUGAAUCAUCGAAUCUUUGAACGCACAUUGCGCCCUUUGGUAUUCCAAAGGGCAUGCCUGUUCGAGCGUCAUUUGUACCCUCAAGCUUUGCUUGGUGUUGGGUGUUUGUCUCGCCUCUGCGUGUAGACUCGCCUUAAAACAAUUGGCAGCCGGCGUAUUGAUUUCGGAGCGCAGUACAUCUCGCGCUUUGCACUCAUAACGACGACGUCCAAAAGUACAUUUUUACACUCUUGACCUCGGAUCAGGUAGGGAUACCCGCUGAACUUAAGCAUAUCAAUAAGCGGAGGA